rnacentral:rRNA from 1 species
AUUGAACGCUGGCGGCAUGCCUUACACAUGCAAGUCGAACGGUAACAGCACUUCGGUGGCUGACGAGUGGCGAACGGGUGAGUAAUACAUCGGAACGUGCCCGAGAGUGGGGGAUAACGCAGCGAAAGCUGUGCUAAUACCGCAUACGAUCUACGGAUGAAAGCAGGGGACCGCAAGGCCUUGCGCUCAUGGAGCGGCCGAUGGCAGAUUAGGUAGUUGGUGGGAUAAAAGCUUACCAAGCCGACGAUCUGUAGCUGGUCUGAGAGGACGACCAGCCACACUGGGACUGAGACACGGCCCAGACUCCUACGGGAGGCAGCAGUGGGGAAUUUUGGACAAUGGGGGAAACCCUGAUCCAGCCAUGCCGCGUGCAGGAUGAAGGCCUUCGGUUGUAACUAGCUUUGUUACGGAACGAAAGGUACGUUUCUUAAUAAAGAAGAACUCAUGACGGUACCGUAACGAAUAAGACACCGGCGUAACUACGUAGCCAGCAGCCGCGGUAACG